UAGAGCUUCCAACUGGAUUAAAGGUUGGUUCAGCCGAAUGGUAAAUUAUGAAAAGAAAUCUCUUAUAGAAAAAAGUACUUGCUGCACUCAGUUAAAAGUGUCUUUUGUUCCAGAGCUAGCAUUAGAAUGGUGAGGCAAUCCAUGUUAUUGGG